AGCAGCCGCGGUAAUUCCAGCUCCAAUAGCGUAUAUUAAAGUUGUUGCAGUUAAAAAGCUCGUAGUUGAAUUUCGGGGUCAGUAGAUUGGUCGUGCCACUGGUAUGUACUGGUCUUACUGGCUCCUCCUUCCUGAUGAACCGUAAUGCCAUUAAUUUGGUGUUGCGGGGAGACUGGACUGUUACUUUGAAAAAUUAGAGUGUUUAAAGCAGGCUAACGCUUGAAUACAUUAGCAUGGAAUAAUGAAAUAGGACGUUCGAUCUUAUUUUGUUGGUUUCUAAGAUUGACGUAAUGAUUAAUAGGGAUAGUUGGGGGCAUUAGUAUUCAAUUGUCAGAGGUGAAAUUCUUGGAUUUUAUUGAAGACUAACUACUGCGAAAGCAUUUGCCAAGGAUGUUUUCAUUAAUCAAGAACGAAAGUUAGGGGAUCGAAGACGAUCAGAUACCGUCGUAGUCUUAACCAUAAACUAUGCCGACUAGGGAUCGGAUGAUGUUAAUUUUCUAAUGACUCAUUCGGCUACCG
rnacentral:misc_RNA from 1 species